UACGUAGGGGGCAAGCGUUGUCCGGAAUCAUUGGGCGUAAAGCGCGUGUAGGCGGCUGGCUAAGUCCGCUCUGAAAGCCCGGGGCUCAACCCCGGGAGGCGGGUGGAUACUGGUCAGCUCGAGUCCGGAAGAGGAGUGUGGAAUUCCUGGUGUAGCGGUGAAAUGCGCAGAUAUCAGGAGGAACACCGACGGCGAAGGCAGCUCGCUGGGACGGUACUGACGCUGAGGCGCGAAAGCGUGGGGAGCGAACAGG
rnacentral:rRNA from 1 species